UCAGCCGCCGCGGUAAUACGUAGGGUGCGAGCGUUAAUCGGAAUUACUGGGCGUAAAGCGUGCGCAGGCGGUUUUGUAAGACAGAUGUGAAAUCCCCGGGCUCAACCUGGGAACUGCGUUUGUGACUGCAAGACUCGAGUGUGGCAGAGGGGGGUGGAAUUCCACGUGUAGCAGUGAAAUGCGUAGAGAUGUGGAGGAACACCGAUGGCGAAGGCAGCCCCCUGGGUCAACACUGACGCUCAUGCACGAAAGCGUGGGUAGCAAACAGGAUUAGAUACCCUGGUAGUCCACGCCCUAAACGAUGCCAACUAGGUGUUGGGGAAGGAGACUUCCUUAGUACCGUAGCUAACGCGUGAAGUUGGCCGCCUGGGGAGUACGGUCGCAAGAUUAAAACUCAAAGGAAUUGACGGGGGCCCGCACAAGU
rnacentral:rRNA from 1 species